CUUCUUGUAGACACCUUUCACAGGUUGGGUCAUCUGUCAGUCCCAGUUUGAAAAUGUAUCCUUUUAGGUUGCAGUGUCCAGUAAGCAAUCCUACCACCCGUCUUAAUUGAUCUCAUGUCCUUCGUUCUUCUGGCAGAGGGUGCUGAUAUAAAUCCCUUUGCCUGUUUGAGUCCUAUUGUGGAUUCCCAGAAGGCUGAAAGGAAGGUGGUCUCUAAGACCGAAGUGACUGCUUUUGUUGUAGGUUGCCUGAGUCCUAUUGUGGAUUCCCAGAAGGCUGCAAGGAAGGUGGUCUCUAAGACCGAAGUGACUGCUUUUGUUGUAGGUUGCCUGAGUCCUAUUGUGGAUUCCCAGAAGGCUGCAAGGAAGAUGGUCUCUAAGACCGAAGUGACUGCUUUUGUUGUAGGUUGCCUGUAUGUCCCAACUGUUUCCUCACCCUACACACUUAAACCCUGAAGACAGAGGUAGCAUGUUCUUGAAUAUCUGUAUCCACAUACAAGACCAUGGUGUCACAACCCAGAAGACCACAGUAUGAACUCUUAUUGUUGGUUCACAGUAGUCUUAUUAACCCUAAAACUGAAAGGUGGCACACCAAACUGGAUCAUUUGUGCAGGAUAAUCUUAUUUAUAUUGUCACAUGUAUGAGUGACUAUAGAUGGGGUUUGGAUUGGUGACUUGAUUUAUUGCACGCUUUAAUACAAUGCAUAACUGUGCUUUACAGUUCACUGUUAUACACACUCGAGUGUCCACAGUCAUGUCUUCACAGCGGUUGCUUGGUAGUGGCUUCUGAUAGUGGACGUUCCCUUUUCCUCUGUGUUCCUGAACUAUCCUUGCGCCUCAGCUACCAGCUUCUAAUAGCAACAGCUCACAAGGACUAAACAACAGCAGUCCUGUGACUGCUCACCAGCCAACUCACUUCACUUCACCAUACUCAGCAGCACUGCACUCACUACCUGAACUGAACUCAGUCAGUUGAGUCAUAUAUCCUCAGAGCAGACCACAUAGAAAACACCACUUCCAUUCUUGCAUGCAGCCCGCUGCCUAGGAAGGGCUGUUGUCUCAUUUGUUUCACGGUCAUUGCCUAGCAGCUACUGUCUAUGUGCUACAGUAUUUUCCUAAGUCUCCAAAUUUCCCUCACCAAGAAAAGGUACUUAAAUUGAUUCUGAACUACAUGAUGAAGUGCAGUCAUAAUUUUUCAGAUGUUGAUCAUCCAAUUUCAAAGUUCCUUGAGCAUUCUUCAACCUUGUAAUGAAAUGUGAUUGGAAAGUAUAGAUUUGGAUCUCUCUUUGCAAAACAGUGAAUUUCUUCUCCAUUAUUUACUUCUUGAAUAUAUUUAUUAUAUAGUGUGCUGUUUUAGUAUAGGUACUAUUGGUGAUAGAGGUUAUUGGAAGCUCAUGAGACUUGUUUCCUGUUGUAUGUGUCUGCCCGCUUGCGUGUAUGUGCACACACUAAUAUAUCUGUGCAUGCAUGUGUGCAUAGUAUGGCAAUUAAAUAAUGAGACUGUACUCACAGGCAGCGUUGUUAAAUUUUAUUCUGAACUGCAGUAGUCUACAUCAAAGUAAUUCUCUCGUAGUUAUACAUGAAUUCCAGCAUUGUUGCCGACUUCCAGAAGUCAUCCUCCUGCAGAUUUUUUACAAUGGCCAUCAUAACCAGAAUCUCUUUCAUGGUUUCAAUUCCUUGAGAUUAUUACCCAUAAUAUGGAAUAAGAUGAAGUCAAGUGGAAUGAGAUCUAGUAAGUGUGGUGUUCCAAAAACUCGAGAGAAAAGCUGUGUGUGAGGGAACAUUGUUAUGGAGGGGGAUCAUGUGUCAGGGAUCAGUUGUGGCCUCACAUGAUGAAGCCAGUGUCUUGGAUGUUCUAAAGUGGUGAAAAUUGUGGUUGACAAUCUACAAUCAAUCCAGACAUUAUCAUCUGAUUCUGAUGUCAGAUGACCAGGUUAUUUGGGAAAUGAACCGUUUACGCCAUACAAACACAUAUUCUCUUCUGCAUACACUUAGAUAUCAAUUUCAAAGAUUUUGAUUCGUUUUCUCCAAGUUAGACUAAAAACUUCGUGUUGAUUCUUUCUUCAAAAUACAUACUAUUCAUUUUUUCUGUGAACUAUUCAAUCAUUGCUUCAUUUAAAGCAUAACAGCUCUGCACACACUAGACUUUCAGAGACAAAUUCACUACUGCAUUAGAGUUCAGAUAUGUACCCAUGGAUGGCGGCAGUCAUCAUCAGUCAUAGAAUGAUUGAUGCUUUGCAGUAUUGUAAGUCUUGUUGUUAGUCGCAACUUGUGUAUGUGAGUGCACAUGUGCAUGCACAUGCACAGUUAUAUGAUGAUGCGCACUUUUGUGACACGUGUUCAAUUUUAUAUAUUUUUCUAGUAUCUUUUUCUGGCCUAUAACACUAUUGUUGAAUGCUGUGCUGCAAGAAAUGGUGGUAUCUGUAUGGUUAUAGUGGUUGUUGGAUAAUUCCGGUGUACUUGUUUCAUGCAAAUAGGAUUAAUCUUCACAUUACUUAUGAGUGUUUAUAGACACAAGGAAUGAAUUAUAGUCUUUUACUGUUAAUAAUUCCAGUUAUACAGUUAGUCAGUUAAGAGUACUGGUAAUGUUAGAAGUUCUCAAGCAACAAGUCAGACUGUUUCUUGUCAUCACACUCCUCAAUCAAAUUUUCAUCUUGACACUCAUUUUAAGUUGUUAAUUUUUCUACCCAGUUCUGUUUGUGCCACAGGUACAUGAUAAAAGUUACACUUCUGUGACAUGGUGGUACUACAUGAAUAUGAAUGGUAAAACAACGUGACUUUAAUUUAAAAAUAUGUGCUGACACAGCUUUCUCAUGAGAAGCGAGACUCAAGUCUGGAUUUAGAAUUGUAUUUUAUACUUUGUUUUGAUACAGUAUAGCAUUGCCAAUCAAAAUACAAAUUUCACAUUUACAUGAGCACAGAACCAUCUCUGAAGUCAGAUGGUCAACCAUCAAAAGAAAGGCAAAGAUGACAGAUUUCUUUCUCAUUGUCUUCUGUUUCCCUGGAUGCUUGUGUUCCUUCACAUUUCAAAAUUCUGUCUUUUGUUGACUUACUGAUACCAUAACAUAUUGUUCUUUCUACAUAGUACUUGUAUAUCUAUGAAAAUUCAUUGUCCAGCACACAUUUUUGAGAAUCAUGAAGAUUUUGUUUGAUACUGCAAAAAAUAUGAGAAUGAGAUGUGUAUGUGUAUGUAGUAACAAAGAUGUAUGUUGCAUAGCAGUAGGAAUGUCAUUCUCUGUCUCUAUACUGCAAAAGUAAUUUCUUUACAAGCAUAAUGUUAGGAAAAUAUUUAAAAUAUGCUCAUUGUUACUCUUCAGCUGCAAUUUUGCAGUUGUGCUAUUUAAAACUUAAUGCUUCAACCAAAGAAAUAAUGAAAUGUAUUGUAUUAUUGUAUACAAAGCAGGAAGUAAUUGUAAAAUUCCUUUCUUCAUAGACUUACCGUAUAGAACACAACAAUUUUCACAUAGUCAUGCUAAAGAGAAAGGAGGGGUGGACAUUUACCAGAGUUCAUCAUUCAUAUGCAUAAUAUCAAUCCUAAGGUGUGAGAUCUGGAUGAUUCCUACAGCCAUUCUGGAUUACAUAGUAUCAUACUUUGAGGUAGUUAUUUUGGGCUGGAUAUGUGAUAAUCAUGAUGGAGGUAAGAAACAGGGCAUAAAUGUAGGUAGAAGAAUAGUAUUAAAAGUUGAUAUUUGAGGAAUGUAGAUUGGUUUAAGCUGGCACAGAAGAGUGUCCAAUGACAGUUUAUGAUUUAAUAUGAUCCUUUAGAACUCAUUCCAUGACUCUGAGUCUUUCUUGAAGCUAACAGCUGCUCAGCCACACAAAUUCCCAGUAUUCUAGUUAUUCUGAACGUUCACGGUUGUUUUUAGAAGGACUUGCUAGUGGUCCUUUUCCCAAGGCAGAUGAAUGCAGUCCACAUCUUCACAUCCUAUUUAUUUUGCAUCCAUUUUAAUGUUAUCCUCACAUCUGUGUCUAGGUCUUAGCGGUCUUUCUCCUUCAUGGUUUCCCACCAAAACUUUGUAUGCACUUCUAUCCCAUGCAUAUUACCUGCUCUACCUAUUUCACCCUCCCUGAUUUUAUCAUUCUAACAUUAUUUGUCAAGGAGUACAAAUUAUGACACUCCUCAUCAUUCAGUUUUCUCCAGUCUCCUGUUAUUUCAUCAGCGUUACGAAAAUAUUUCCCUUGGUACCCUGUUUUCAGAUACCUGUAGUCUGUGUUCUCCCUUUAAUGUGAGAAGCCAAGUUUCACACCCAUUCAGAACUACAGAAAAUGACUUGUUUGCUCACCUAGUUUUAAACGAAAUAAUUUAAAUGGGUUAGACUGAUAAUCCUGUGGGUAUUCUAUAAACAGUUGAUACAUUAACAGUCAGAAUACAACGAAUACAUAAUGGUUUUGCUAACAUAUUUCAAUCUCUUCAUCUUAGAUCACCUUCAGAGGCAUAUCUUACUGUUUACGAAAGCUAUUAAAGUUUACAGUUGUUAGGUUUGUUCAAACAGACAGCCGAGGCAGACUGAUUCUGCAUUAUACCUGAUUUGUGCUGUAGCGUAUCAGGCCCUCAGUUCAUUAUGUAUGACUUGACAUUAGUCACAGAUGUACAUGUAAUCUCUAUUAAAGUGGAAAUUAGGCUCAUCUGUAGGUGGAGGUAGCAGAUAUCCACUCAUAUUUAUCCCUUCGUGGAUCAUACUCUAUUCUUUUCUGGCCUCUUAUGAGUGCUCUUCUUGCAUGUGUGUCCACCCUAUGCCUACUCCUUUGUUAGCUUUCUUCAUUUUUAAAUUCUCUCUUUUUGGUUCUACAACCUUUGUGUCUUUUAUGAACUUUUUUGAAAAGUCCCCAGUGCCUUUUAUCCGUAUUAUUCACUUAGUACUUUUAGAUUUUUUUUUAUACUGUCAAAGCCACCCGAGUUUUCGUCUGUCUUGGCCUCUUAUCCCUUCCGUAUGCCUUCACUGUCAUCCAUUCUGUUUGGGUGUAUGGCCCAUUUCAGUCAGCCUGCCUUAAUAAUUUUCACAGUCUUAGAAUCAUUGUAUAAUUGACAAAGUUCAUUAUUAUAUCAACCUCUGCAUUGUUUGAUUUCUCUUUCUGGCCCAUACAUUGCCCUUAAAACUAUAUUCAGAGACUAAUAGAUUACUUUAAUCACCAUUCAUGAUUUCUUUAAAGUAGUCAUAGAAAUCCCAUUGUAGAUGAAAUGUCCAAGAAGUAUAAUGCUGUCUCCAUACCCCUGUAUCUUUAAUUUGAACAAAGUUUUUGUAAUGUCCCCCCCCCCAUUGUGAUCAUACCUAUGGCCCAGUUUCAGAUUUGAUACAUUCUUACUAAUUUCUUUACACUCCACAGAAAUGUCAGAAAUCAGUAGCUUGUAAUGUGCUUACAUCUCUCUUGGCUGAUCUAUAGCAACUGGAAGCAUUUUCAGUGAAGAGACCCAUCAUCCAAAAUGUGUUCUGGCAAUAGAAACUAUCUGAAACACUUGAGCAGAACAAGUUCACAAAAUUCUCUUCACCAGUUGUCAGCUAUAAGGAGCCAGCCAUUGAACCAUAUACUGAGGUAAUUUAAUCCUUUUCCUGAGGUCCCCCUAGAAUCUCAUACCUCUUUCUAGUUUUCCCCCAUUUCCUACCCUUCCUGCCCUUUAUUUACAUCCAAACUAAAGCUAAACUGGGUGAAAACACUAUAAAUUUGCCUUCACUUAAAAUCUUAUUACUUGUUUUGAAGAAAUUUAAAACCACAAUUAAAUACCAGUUCUUUUAUAAGUAAUUACUUAACUUUCCGAAUUAUGACACAUCUGGAUAUUUUUAUUCUUUUGGAGUGGGAAACAGUUUAAAAUUUACUAAGAAAAUUUUAUUUUAUUACUGAGAUAUGCAAAUUAAGUUAUAUUUGACAGUUCAGUUGGUUGUCAGUCAUCAUUCCUAUCUGAUUUCACCUCUACCAUCUCUUUUGGAGGAAUGGGAUUUCAGUGCAUCUUAAAUAAUUUAACACAGUUAUUGGAAGAAGUUAAUUCUGGAAAAUGUUAAUUUAAACUGAGUUUUAGAGCACAGUUCUACAUGUUGGUGAGUGUAUGCAGUAAAGAUUUUUUGCAGAUAGAGAAUAUAAAUUAUAAACUUUCAUAGAAUGUAAUUGCAUAUUCCUCCAUGAUUAUUUUCUAUUUUCCUUUACUAAGAUAUUUGAAAUGAAUUUUUCUUAAUGUAAUAUUCACUUACUAGUGUUAUGGGUUUAUUUAAUUUAUAAAUUUUUUGUGCACUUUAAAUUGGUGAUCAUAAAUAAAAUCUGAGCAUGUAGUAAGGACAGGACGAUUCUUCAUUUUGUACUAGUUUACUGAACUUUGGCUCUUGUUUCUCUUUUUGAAUCUAUAUUUUGCAUAAUUUUAGUUGUACUAUCUUUGCCUUAGUUAAUGUUAUGGGAAGUUUUUGUCAUUAUAUAUUAUGCAAAAUAUUAACAACUUUUCUUCUAAUAUUAAUGGAAUACAUAAUUAGCAUUUACUUCAGCAAAUUAAACUUAAAGAGAUCAUGUCAGUGUAGUCCUUGGCAGACAGGUUACUCAUAUAACAGUACUGGAAAUUGUUUUCAUGCAAAUGAUCCACAUGCUACAAGUUGGCCUCUUCCAUGACCAGAGACAUGUUAACCAUUCUUUAUAUAGCAGCAUUGGCAUUUGGGGAAAAUAACCUGUCAGAACAACAAUAUGUAGUGACAAAAUAUUGGAAGACAUUAAAACUUUUAGUUUCUUAGGGUAUAAACUAUCUUGUGGUGGAGAAAGACAUCAGUAAUACCACAGUUGAGGAAAUCAUGAACUAAAUUCAUUCAUAUGGAGGGUACUUGCUAGGUCAGUAGCAAAUUGGGCUGAUGUGAAAGGAUCAGUUCUUGAGAUGUAACAGUUCACGUCCUGAUUGUUAGGAAGCCAUAACAAGUUUAUAUAUGUGAAUGAUUCCAUAAAAAUGACAGCAUGUCAGUUGAGAAUUCUGUAAGCAUAUACCAUUAACUGAAGUUGUGAGUGAAUGUAUGCACGUGCCAAUGUGUAUGACGCCUCACUGCAAAGUUGUGCUCUGAUGACAGGAAAUAUAAAAGUUUUGCAAUCAGACGUACAUAAGCAGCAAAUGAAGUUAACUCUACAAUCAUAAUUAAAAAACAAGCACAGCCAUGUCUUAGUAGCAUCAUUUUAUAUGGCUGUGUGGAUAUUUAAUUUUGGUGAUGAUUCGUAUAUAGACAGACUUUGUUAAAAUCUUGAUUCUCUGCUGUCUGCUUCAUGCUGGCUUGUUCUUCAGCCCAGAAGGUGGAGGUGACAGGCUUCUCUGAUACAUCGGUUGACUUUAUGCAGACUACACAAGCAUUAUGUCCUAGUAGACAGAACUUUUUAUUUAUCAUCAUCCUGGUGUGUCUGUGGCUCAUGCUGACCAAUUUAUUGGCUUAUACAUUACAUGCCUAAUUUCCUGAAGGGGAAUCCAGCUUUGAAAGUUUUGUUUGUACCCUUCAUUGCAAAGGUCUUGCACUUCACUUAGAAUAUUUCCUAGAUUAACAGAAACUUGGUCAUGUCAUCCUUUGCUGUUUGGUGGCUACAUUUGUCCAUAUCCUGUUGCACAGUUUUUGGUGUUUCCUACUUGUCUUCUGUUCCUUUUGCUGGAAUUUCUUCUGUGUUUCUUCCUUCUUCUGGUUUCUCAUCUGAUGUCAGGACACUUUUCAGGGUUUGUAUGCCUUGUGAUGGUGUUUCUUUUUUUCCUCUGCUGGUAAGAAUGUCAUUCUAGGUGGGUUGUUAGUUUUGUUCUCUUUUUUGGUUCAUUUGCCAUCAUAUUACAUGAAUCUCGUUUCGAAAAGCUAUGUAAUCUCAAUAUUGUUGGCAUUUCUAUUUAUAGCCAUUUCAAGGCAUAGCCCUGCUCAUCAUCAUGAAGAUGGUGUUUCCAUUGUUCACAGAGCCACAGAAGACUUCAGUGCUUCCUUUCCAGUGUCUCUAUGUCUGACAUUUACUGCAGCUCACUUCCUAUGGAAUUAUUACUGAUGUCCAUCAUAUCCUGUCUCACUCUUGUACACAAAGGUUUUCCUACAGGAAUCACAGUUAUAUAUAGGCUCUGUUUCUGUUAUGUUCAUCUUUAGUUUGUUUUUCUUCUUCCCAUUCCCAGUGAUAGAUCUAAUCUUCCUGUGGUUGUAAAUGGCUCCAGACUAUGAAUUAAGAUGAGUCACAACCAAAAUAAAUAGCAGUUCAUGGCUUCCACAACAAGAACUGUUUACAUAAGAAAUCUCACAGCCUGAAUGAAAGCUGUACAAAUGAACUAUGUGAACAUUGUAUAUUGCAGGAAGAGAGCAAGAUCAUUCACUAAUAGUGAUUCUGUUGUGCAUGUUGAUUUUACUGUAAAAUUAUGACAUUUUUCUCAAAAGUUUGUUAUCAUAAAUUAACACUGUGAAUCAUCAUACAAAUUUGUUAAGUCUUUUCUAAAGAAAUUUUGAAUUUUCAUGUUUUUCUGAAAUGUGAACUGAUGUGGAUCACUUGCAGUUUUAAAUGCCACAUAAAGAAAACUGGUGUGAAGUAUGUACACAAGGGGGUGUGGCCAGAAUUUUAAUUACCAGUUUGUAUGCUGCCAGUCUUUUAUUUGCCAAUACCAUAUAAUGGAGAAUGGUAUUCACAUUUUCUUCAGUAUGAGCCAAGGUCAACAUUUAGAGCAAUUCUCCUUCUUCAUAGCAUCUGGCCAGGCCAUAUUUGGUUCUGGGACAUUUUUUCAUAUGAUUUUGAUAGGUACCAGUUUGGCUGAACUGGUGUAAACCAGUUCCAUUAUACCCCAAUAUAUAAACAAUAUAUUGUUAAUAUUUAUAAGUGAAUCACCAUUAAUGCAAAUUUGAAUCAAGAGUAGGAUUUCCAGUGAAGUACAAGAUUGAAUUUAGGAAACUGUUGACUAAUUAUGAACACUUUUUAAUUUAAUAUUAAAUAAAUUGGGAUUCCAUUCCCAUUAAUGCCUGUGAUAGAAAUUAGAACAAUUUCCCUAUUAGAGUAAGUAGUCUCAUUAACAUUCUUUAGGAGGUAUGAAUCUUUUUGUUACUGUUGUUAAGCAUUGAGAGUGUGUAUUUAUGUUGAUACUUAUUAAUUAAUACAACUUCACUGUGUUCUUCAUUACAUUCUGUAAAUUCACACAAAUUAAUAAACAUAUUUUAAGUUUGCA